rnacentral:lncRNA from 1 species
AGACUCACACAUGCCUGGCCUGGCCUAGUGUCCUGCUCUCACAGGAAGCCAAGAAACCCACUCGUGAAGAGGAAGGCCCCACCACGGCUGUGGGUGGCAUGCACAUGUGGACCUAAAGGACUCAUCUCUCCCAGCAGCGUCACCCCAGAGACCAAGCUGUCAGCACGUGAGCCUUAGGUGACGUUCAACAUCUAGAGGGAGCAGAGCUGGGUGACUUCCCAGAGAGACUCGGCAGCUGAGAGGACACAAGACCGCAAACAGAUGACCCAAGAGGCAGAGUCCUGGUCAGUGUUUCCUGCAGUUGUCUUAGGAACCCAAGAAGAGAGUCUGCCUGAGAAAGAAAAGCUGACAUUAAAGCCGUAAAACUGGGUAUGAAUGAAC